CCUACGGGUGGCUGCAGUGGGGAAUAUUGGACAAUGGGGGGAACCCUGAUCCAGCCAUGCCGCGUGUGUGAAGAAGGCCCUCGGGUUGUAAAGCACUUUCAGUGAGGAAGAACGCCUGGUGGUUAAUACCCAUCAGGAAAGACAUCACUCACAGAAGAAGCACCGGCUAACUCCGUGCCAGCAGCCGCGGUAAUACGGAGGGUGCGAGCGUUAAUCGGAAUUACUGGGCGUAAAGCGCGCGUAGGUGGCUUGAUAAGCCGGUUGUGAAAGCCCCGGGCUCAACCUGGGAACGGCAUCCGGAACUGUCAAGCUAGAGUGCAGGAGAGGAAGGUAGAAUUCCCGGUGUAGCGGUGAAAUGCGUAGAGAUCGGGAGGAAUACCAGUGGCGAAGGCGGCCUUCUGGACUGACACUGAAACUGAGGUGCGAAAGCGUGGGUAGCGAACAGGAUUAGAUACCCUUGUAGUC
rnacentral:rRNA from 1 species